rnacentral:RNase_P_RNA from 1 species
GAAGCACGCCAGACCGUCGCUGGUGCAAUCUGGGAAACCAGGCACUGGAGGAACGUCCGGACUGCAUAGGGCAGCGUAGGAGGUAAUACCUCUCCACCGUGAGGUGAGGAUCAGAGCAACAGAGACGAGCCGGUUUAGUCCGGGUGAAACGGGCAAUCUCUACGCGCAGCAAUACCAAGUAGGCCAGCGUUGAUGUGGCUCCGCAGAGCUGGCGGGUAGGUAGCACCGAGCCGGUGGGGUGACUCCCGGCCCAGAGUAAUGACGGUCACAUCGGGGGCAACCCCGAUGCACAGAAUCCGGCUUAUCGGCGCGCUUCACAC